AUUGAACGCUGGCGGCAGGCCUAACACAUGCAAGUCGAACGAGUGGCGGACGGGUGAGUAAUGUCUGGGAAACUGCCCGCUGGAGGGGGAUAACUACUUGAAACGGUAGCUAAUACCGCAUACCAUCGGAUGUGCCCAGAUGGGAUUCGCUAGUCGUUGGGGUAUCGGCUCACCAAGGCGACGAUCACUCGCUGGUCUGAGAGGAUGACCAGCCACACUGGAACUGAGCCACGGUCCAUACUCCUACGGGAGGCAGCAGUGGGGACUAUUGCACAAUGGGCGCAAGCCUGAUGCAGCCAUGCCGCGUGUAGGAAGAAGGCCUUCGGGUUGUAAAGUACUUUCAGCGAGGAGGCGUUACUCGCAGAAGAAGCACCGGCUAACUCCGUGCCAGCCGCCGCGGUAAUAC
rnacentral:rRNA from 1 species